CCUGGUUGAUCCUGCCAGUAGUCAUAUGCUUGUCUCAAAGAUUAAGCCAUGCAUGUGUAAGUAUGAACAAAUUCAGACUGUGAAACUGCGAAUGGCUCAUUAAAUCAGUUAUAGUUUGUUUGAUGGUUUCUACUACUCAGAUAAACAUAGCAAUUCUAGAGCUAAUACAUGCAACAAACUCCGACUUCUGGAAGGGAUGCAUUUAUCAGAUAAAAGUUUGAGGCGGGCUCUUCCCGUUGCUAUGAUGAUUCAUGAUAACUCAAUGGAUCACACGGACAUCGUGCCAGCGACGCAUCAUUCAAAUUUAUGUCCUAUCAAGUUUUUAUGGUAGGAUAGUGGCCUACCAUGGUGGUGAAGGGUGACGGAGAAUUAGGGUUCGAUUUCAAAGAGGGAGCCUGAGAAACGGCUAUCGCAUCCAAGAAAGGCAGCAGGUGCGCAAAUUACCCAAUCCUGACACGGGGAGGUAGUGAUAAUAAAUAACAAUACAGGGCUCAAUGAGUCUGGUAAUUGGAAUAAGUACAAUCUAAAUCCCUUAACGAGGAUCCAUUGGAGAGAGAGUUUGGUGCCAGUAGUCGUGGUAAUUCUAGCACCAAUAGUGUAUAUUUAAGUUGUUGCAUUUAAAAAGCUCGAAGUUGGACUUUGCGAUUGGCUGGCCGGUCCACCUAUAGUGUGCACUGGUCGUCUCGUUCCUUCUGUCGGCGAUGCACUCCUGGCCUUAACUGGCCGGGUCAUGCCUCCGGCGCUGUUACUUUCAAGAAAUUAGAGCACUUAAAAUAGGCCUACGCUCUGUAUACAUUAGCAUGGUAUAACAUUAUAAGAUUUCGGUCCUAUUACGUUGGCCUUCAGGAUCGGAGUAAUGAUUAACAAGGACAAUCGGGGGCAUUCAUAUUUCAUAUCCAGAGGUGAAAUUAUUAGAUUUAGGAAAUACGAACAACUGCGAAAGCAUUUUCUAAGGAUGUUUUCAUUAGUUAAAAACGAAAGUUGGGGGCUCGAAGUCAAUCAGAUACCGUCCUAGUCUCAAUCAUAAAAGAUACCGACCAGGGAUCGGCGGAUGUUGCUUUUAGAACUCCGCCGGUAUCUUAUGAGAAAUCAAAGUUUUUGGGUUCCGGGGGGAGUAUGGUCGCAAGUCUGAAACUUCAAGAAAUUAAAGGAAGGGCACCACCAGGAGUGGAGCCUACGGCUUAAUUUGACUCAACACGGGGAAACUUACCAGGUCCAGACAUAGUAAGGAUUGAAAUACUGAGACCUCUUUCUUGAUUCUAUGGGUGGUGGUGCAUGGCCGUUCUUACUUGGUGGAGCAAUUUGUCUCGUUAAUUCCAUUAACGCAAGAGACCUCACACUACCAACUAGCUAUGCAGAGGUAUCCCUUCGUGGCCAGCUUCUUAUAGGGACUACGGCCUUUUAGUCCGCGGAAGUUUGAGGCAAUAAUAGGUCUGUAAUGCACUUAGAUGUUCUGGCCUGCACACGUGCUACACUGAUGUAUUAAACGAGUUUAUAGCCUUGGCCGACAAGCCCGGGUAAUAUUUGAAAUUUCAUUGUGAUGGGGAUAGAUCAUUGCAAUUGUUGGUCUUCAACGAGGAAUUCCUAGUAAGCGCGAGUCAUCAGCUAGCGUUGACUACGUCCUUGCCCUUUGUACACACCGCCCGUCACUCCUACCAAUUGAUUGAUCAGGUGAAAUGUUUGGAUCAUGGCGGCGUGGGCGGUUCGUUGCCUGUGACACCGCGAGAAUUCCAUUGAACCUUAUCAUUUAGAGGAAGGAGAAUUGUAAUAAGAUUUCUGUAGGUGAACCUGCGGAAG
rnacentral:rRNA from 1 species